GACAGAGGGGGCAAGCGUUGUUCGGAAUUACUGGGCGUAAAGGGCGCGUAGGCGGCCCGCUAAGUCGAACGUGAAAUCCCCAGGCUCAACCUGGGAACUGCGUCCGAUACUGGCAGGCUUGAAUCCGGGAGAGGGAUGUGGAAUUCCGGGUGUAGUGGUGAAAUGCGUAGAUAUCCGGAGGAACACCUGUGGCGAAAGCGGCCACCUGGACUGCACCUGACGCUGAAACGCGAAAGCUAGGGGAGCAACAGG
rnacentral:rRNA from 1 species